GAUGAACGCUGGCGGCGUGCCUAAUACAUGCAAGUCGAGCGAACAGACGAGGAGCUUGCUCCUUUGACGUUAGCGGCGGACGGGUGAGUAACACGUAGGUAACCUACCUAUAAGACUGGGAUAACUUCGGGAAACCGGAGCUAAUACCGGAUAAUAUUUCGAACCGCAUGGUUCGAUAGUGAAAGAUGGCUUUGCUAUCACUUAUAGAUGGACCUGCGCCGUAUUAGCUAGUUGGUAAGGUAACGGCUUACCAAGGCAACGAUACGUAGCCGACCUGAGAGGGUGAUCGGCCACACUGGAACUGAGACACGGUCCAGACUCCUACGGGAGGCAGCAGUAGGGAAUCUUCCGCAAUGGGCGAAAGCCUGACGGAGCAACGCCGCGUGAGUGAUGAAGGUCUUCGGAUCGUAAAACUCUGUUAUUAGGGAAGAACAAAAGUGUAAGUAACUGUGCACGUCCUGACGGUACCUAAUCAGAAAGCCACGGCUAACUACGUG
rnacentral:rRNA from 1 species